rnacentral:pre_miRNA from 1 species
AAAGUACUCCCUCCGUCCCAAAAUUCUUGUCUUAGAUUUUUCUAGAUACGGAUGUAUCAAGUCACAUUUUAGUAUUAGAUACAUCUGUAUCUAGAUAAAUCUAAGACAAGAAAUUUGGGAUAGAGGGAGUAGUUG